UUAUUGAGUUUGAUGAUGGCUCUGAUUGAACGCUGUCCAAAGGCUUGACACAUGCUAAUCGUACGUCAUUUUCUUGCUAUACUUAUGUUCUAAAUCAACACUUAGCCGUAGUAAGAAAAAUGAAGUGGUGUAAAGGUGAGUAUACAAUAUUUUAUCUCUACCUUAAAGUAAGGAAAAAAAUUCCUUAUAAAGUAUAUGAUACUGAUUUAAAAGUUGAUUGUACAAAAGAAAAAAGUUUUUCGCUUUAAGAUGUUAAAAAUAUUACCGAGUAAGUAGUAGUUAAGGUAACUACUUAACUAGCUUAAGCUCGUAGUCGAAACUGAGAGGUUGAUCGAUCACAUUGGGUCUGAAAAAACCCCAAUACGUCUAGUACAGCAGUGAGGAAUAUUGGUCAAUGGCCUAACGGCCGAACCAGCAAUUUGGGGGAAUGUGAUAUCUUUUAGUCGGGAUAUCAAUAUAAACGACUAUGUCGUAUAAAGUUCUAGAUAGAUGAUUGAUAAUGACAGUUUUCUAUCUAUAUGUCUUGACCAAAUCUUGUGCCAGCAGUCGCGGCAAUACAAGUAAGACUAGUGUUAUUCAUCUUAAUUAGGUUUAAAGGGUACCUAGACAGUAUUUCUAGCCUCCAAAGGGAACAGAUUUACUAGAGUUUUAUGUGAGAGGAAAAUAUUAGAACCAUUGGAGUAGUGAUAAAAUGUUUUGAUACUAAUGGGACGGAUAACGGCGAAGGCAAACCUCUAUGUAAUAACUGACGUUGAGGGACGAAGGCUUGGGUAGCGAAUAGGAUUAGAUACCCUAGUAGUCCAAGCAGAGAAUUAUGAAUGUUAUAGAUUAAAAUAUUUGGUGUAUAAAUGAAAGUGUAAGCAUUCCACCUCAAGAGUAAUGCGGCAACGCAGGAACUGAAAUCAUUAGACCGUUUCUGAAACCAGUAGUGAAGUAUGUUAUUUAAUUCGAUGAUCCUCGAAAAACCUUACCACAAUUUGAAUGAUAUUUAUAACGCAACGCGCUUAAUUUUUAUAAUUUUAAGAUAAAUAUUACAAGUGUUGCACGGCUGUUUUAAGUUAAUGUCGUGAGACUUUGGUUAGAUCCAUUAAAUUAACGUAAACCCUUGCUUUAUUUUACAUAUAUAGAGCAGUUCACCAAUUUAUUGGAUAUGAUAAUAGGGAUUAAGACAAGUCAUCAUGACCUUAAUAUUGUGGGCUAUAGACGUGCCACAUAUGUUUGUACAAAAGGAGGCAAAAGUGCGAACUUUAGCUAAUCCUUAAAACAGAAUAUAAAAUGGAUUGUAGUCUGUAACUCGACUGCAUAAAUAAGGAAUUACUAGUAAUCGUGAAUCACCACAUCACGGUGAAUUUAAUCUCAGAUAGGUACUAACCACUCGUCAGGCGCUGAAAGGAGUAUGCGCAAUAAGUUUGGCCAUUUAGUAAUUCUUCCUAUUAAUAAUUAGUUAAUAUUUAGAGCUUUAAUAAAGUUCUAUAAGAUACUUUAUUGGAUGGUUUUCGUAUGCGUGACUUUGAUUGGUGUUAAGUCGAAAUACGGUUCGUGUAGUGGAAAUUGCA
rnacentral:rRNA from 14 species